rnacentral:lncRNA from 1 species
UAAAAUUUGCAAAGUGAGGUAAGCAGCUGCAUGGGCGCGCCUAGGCCCAUCAAAUGAUUGCUAAAAGUCCAAAUUUGAAGUUCAGAUAUGUUGAAGCAAGCUUGGAAUGCAAGGAAAUUGAGAAUUUGAAAUUGAAGUUUGAUCCAUGACACAUGAUACCAGUCAGUUUAAGCCAUGCGCAGCCUAUGAAUUUUAGCUAUUUGGAAAGGUGAGAUUAAGAGGAACAAGUUUGAUGUUGAACAAUUUUUCAUUUGGAGGUUGGAACUUGGAGAUAUUUG